GGUGGGAUACCCAAGUGGCUAACGGGGGCAGACUGUAAAUCUGUUGGCUUACGCCUACGUAGGUUCGAAUCCUACUCCCACCACCA
rnacentral:tRNA from 4 species